AUUGAACGCUGGCGGCAGGCCUAACACAUGCAAGUCGAGCGAGCGGCGGACGGGUGAGUAAUGUCUGGGAAACUGCCUGAUGGAGGGGGAUAACUACUGGAAACGGUAGCUAAUACCGCAUACCAUCAGAUGUGCCCAGAUGGGAUUAGCUAGUAGGUGGGGUAACGGCUCACCUAGGCGACGAUCCCUCGCUGGUCUGAGAGGAUGACCAGCCAAAGUGGAACUGAGAAAAGGUCAAGACGCCAACGGGAGGCAGCAGGGGGGAAUAUGGGACAAUGGGGGCAAGCCUGAUGAAGCCAUGCCGCGUGUGUGAAGAAGGCCUGCGGGUGGUAAAGCACUUUCAGCGGGGAGGCGUUACCCGCAGAAGAAGCACCGGCUAACUACGGGCCAGCCGCCGCGGUAAUAC
rnacentral:rRNA from 1 species